AAAUUACUAAGGUGUGCGCAUUGCUCUAAAUAAAGUGUUGCCGAACAAUUAAUAUUACUUUGGGAUUGGCUUCAGGUAGUAAUCAUAACAUGCCUUAUCAUUUGGUAGUUAGAAAGCUAUACAGCCGAUCCCACCUGCUUGACGCGGGUCAAUACUGAAGGGCGACUAACGGCACUACUAGUUUUUUU
rnacentral:other from 1 species